AGAGUGGGGCGAGGGAAGGAAGAGAAAACCUUCAGCGAGGGUAGUCGAAAAGAAGAGUCCUGCGGUAGAAAGCCACUCUAGGAGUAGGAGAGACACAGCCUUCACUGAAUGGCCAGAUCUCCAUGGAAGCAAAAUCGAAACCUGAUUCUUUUCCGUUAUGGGUUAUUACAAGAUAUUGAAUAUAGUCCCCUGUGCUAUACAAUUCAUGUAUCUACCACCACAGUCAAGAUACAGAACAGUUCCACACCACAAGGAUUCCUCAAGUUGCCUUUUUAUAACCACACCCACCUCCCUCUGAUCUCCCCUUCUCAUUAUAUAAAAAAAAG